AAUUAUCAACUCUCUUACUUUAUUGUAAGAUGAGCUUGGACUUGGGGAUUGCUGGUGUAAAUCGGCUUCUCUUGAAUGCAUUAGCUGGAAUUUAAUUCGUAGCGUAUAUGCGGUGUGAUAAUGUCGUCACUGUGUAGCUUGAAUUGUCUGGCUUCUAAUCGUCCUUCACGGGACAAUUUGAUCA
rnacentral:misc_RNA from 1 species